CCCUUAGAUGUUCUGGGCAGCACGCGCGCUACAAUGGUCUUCGCAAACGGAUGCAUUCUCGAAGGAGAAUGCCAAUCUUGGAAUCUAUGCCUUGGUCGGGGCAGUUGCUUGCAAUUUUUCGACUCGAACCAGGAAUUCCUUGUAAUCGUGAUUCAUCACAUCACGAUGAAUACGUCCCUGCCCUUUGUACACACCGCCCGUCGCUCCUACCGAUCGAAGAGUUAGGUGAAUUGUUUUGAUCGAUAAGAUUUGACUAUGGUCAACUCUCGUUGUGAAAUUCUGUGAAUCUGACUGUUUAGAGGAAGGAAAGGUCGUAACA
rnacentral:rRNA from 1 species